CGCCCCUCUUUUUCUCUUGAAAAUUCAUUUACACCCUAUGGAUUUUAUCCCUUCGGAUGAAUCAACUAGUGUCCAGACAUUAUUGAUCUCUAUGGACUCCAUCUCGGACUUCAUAGCCUCAAGCCAUUUUAGGAGUCGGGCCUUUGCAUGGCCCCAUAUAGGAGAUUGGAUCCUCAUUGUUCUCAUUAAGUUCAAUACGAUCACCAUCUCUGAUCAAGAAAUCGUAGUAUCCGUCCGGUUGAUGUAGUACUCUAC
rnacentral:lncRNA from 1 species